rnacentral:rRNA from 1 species
UGAAUGCUUUCGGGUUGUUAAACCUCUUUACAGUCAGGAACGGAAAAUUGAACGGUACCUGGCAGAAGAAAGCUCCCGGCCAACUACGUGC